GUCAAUCAAUGAUAAACUAUAUGCCAAAGUAUUUUCUUGCAUCACCUUCAUGGGUGCAUCCAAAGUCUUUCACAAGCAUCUGUCCCAUCUUUUUCUGUUUUCAGCAUGCUUUGCCAUCAUCGUUGAGUCCAUUUUUAGGAUUUGUAAUAGUCCAAUCACAUCUUUCUCAUGUAUAAUCGUUUUUUUUGGAAUGAUCUCAAUAGGUUCCUUGUGAAAUACCAGUGUGGGUCACAUUAGCAAUCAUUUCAC